ACCAUCAAAACCAAGAACAGUUCCCAUGGUUGAAAUCGCCGAAGAAAAAUCCGUCCCCGCUCUUCCACCAUGGCGCCUUCAAGAUUUCGAGAUUGGAAAGCCGCUAGGCCGAGGAAAAUUUGGAAAAGUUUACCUCGCACGAGAAAAACAGAGCAAAUACAUCGUCGCCCUCAAGGUCAUAUUCAAAGAACAGCUGGCGAAGUACCGGCUCCACCACCAGCUGCGGCGGGAGAUCGAGAUCCAGAGCAGCCUCAGCCACCCCAACGUUCUCCGCCUCUUCGGUUGGUUCCAUGACGAACACCGCAUUUUCUUGAUUCUUGAGUAUGCUGGCCGGGGAGAGCUCUUCAAAGAGCUUAGGAGGUCAGAGUACCUUUCCGAAAAGCGGGCUGCCACUUAUAUUGCGAGUCUGGCCAAGGCAUUGGCUUACUGCCAUGAGAAGCAUGUCAUUCACAGGGACAUCAAGCCUGAGAAUUUGUUGCUGGAUUUGGAGGGCCGACUGAAAAUUGCAGAUUUUGGAUGGUCAGUGCAAUCCAGAUCAAAGAGGCUCACCAUGUGUGGAACUUUGGAUUAUCUAGCACCAGAAAUGGUAACAAACAAAGCACAUGACUACACAGUUGACAACUGGACCUUGGGCAUCCUCUGCUACGAGUUCCUUUACGGCGUCCCACCUUUUGAAGCCGAGAGCCAGGAAGAUACAUUCAAAAGGAUUGUGGAGAUCGACUUGAGUUUUCCUCCCACUGCUCAUGUGUCUGCAGAAGCAAAGGACCUGAUCUGUCGGCUUCUGGUGAAGGAUUCUUUCAAGAGACUCUCCCUUGAGAAAAUUCUAGAUCAUCCGUGGAUUAUCAGGAAUGCAGACCCCUCUGGUACUUGCAUUGAGAAGGGCAUUGAGUCAAAGUGACAAGAUUGCAACACCAUUUUACAACUGAUGACUGUAUGAUGAGGAGAAAGGUUGUCAAAUUAUGAAUGUUUUGUUCUUCUUAUGUUGAGGUAGACAAGCCAUGAGUUUCUGCCCAUUGUAUCAUAAUAUUGCGAGUCUAGCCAAGCCAUUGGCUUACUGUCACGACAAGCAUGUCAUUCACAGGGACAUCAAGCCUGAGAAUUUGUUGCUGGAUUUAGAGAAACUGCUCACAAUUAGAGAGAACAAAACUAGUCAAGCUCCUUCUCAAAAUUAUCUGAUGCUCUCAUGCUGAACUGUUUUCCUCAUCUUAUUCAAUUGGCAAUCAAUGGUAUGCUGCUGAUAAUCGAAACAGAACCCCAAUGUUUAACAAUUUGUGGGAGGUUCAGACCCUUGCUUUUGUCAUGGACUCAUGAUAGGGGAUGCAUUCGUAAGAGUUGGGUCUUCUGUUUCAGUGGAUUUGUGGCUAUCUACACUUGAGUGAACUGGGUUUUGAGGAAAGUGACGGAUGUCUUGGCAUCGAAGGGUCUGCUUAUAGAAGAUAAUGUCAUGUCCAGGUUUUAUAGCUCUCUUCUGCAUUGUCUCCAUUUGGUUCUCUCCAGCCCAAAAGGUUCUAUAUCAGAGCAUGUAGCAGGUUUUGUAGCAUCAUUGCAAAUAUUCUUCAUCUAUGGCCUUACAAAUAAAGGGCCUUUACUUUUACCAAAUUCUAGCUGUAAAGAGAAGGAAGUUAUUUCUUUGAAUUUAAAUUCAAUACUGGAGGAAUCUUGCAAAACCAAUGAAGGUCCAUAUAGACCUCCACAUCUACGCAAAAGAGAAGGGAUGUGUACACAGCCAUUUAAAGCCUGGGAUUCUCAGAGAAGUUCAGAUUGGUGAGUCUUCUGCGCCUGGUUUUGCAUCAUCAGAUUCAGAUCACAGUGAUAGCAAUGGAUCAGUAAAAGAUGCAGACCGCUUUAGGUGUUCGAAGGCUAGGAUAUCUGCUAUUUUGCAUGCAGGUAAUGCUACAUGUGGAAAAGCUAUUAUUAUUUAGGUAAUUGAUCUCAAAAUAUUUUUUCACUACUGCAUUUUGACGUCUGCAUUUCAACUAGAAGGAUCCUUGUCAGCUGAUCCUAAAUCACUUAGUUCUCAUUGGAAUAUACUUCUGCCAACCAAUGGUGUGCUACAACCAAGACUUGGAUUGCAGCUGCAUCAACUUUAGCAGCCAUGUUGGAUGGUCCUUGGUCUGUUUUUCUGCAACUAUCAGAAUACAAAGAAUGCAUAAAAUGUGGAUUAUUUACUACUCUUUCGAGCUCCCUUGGUGAAAUUCUAUUGCAGCUUCAUAUGGGUAGAUGAGAAGAAAUAUGUUUUAGAUUUUUUAGGAAAGAUAGGCUCAAACCCAUGUCAUCAUUGUUGAAGCAGAAAGUGCUUUUCAUUGAUCCAUGGGCUUGAUCAAAGAUUGAUUCUUACAUAUGUCCAUCAUAGUUGUAGGAAUAGAAAUAAAAUGCCUUUAUUUAUUUAUUUAUUUUUGAAGGAUGAAAUUUAUUAGCAAAGCCCAAGGGGCAAAAGCAGAAAAACACGAAGAAAAAAAUGGAAAGAACUAAAAAUACAACACCCCAACCCCAGACCAGGGGUCCAAUCCUAAUAAAAGAAAACACCUUAUUUACAACAUAAGCUGAAGAGAGUCUAUUAUCCUUGAAACACCUCUCGUUCCUUUCCCAUCAUAUGCUCCAAAGAACAUCCAGCAAAGAAAUUCACUAUUUCCACUUUUCAGAGGAAGAGAGGUUACCCUCUCAUGUUUGGGAUUGAUGGAUGGUUGCAUGGUAUGGAUGGAUUGAUGGUUGUAUCAUCAUGCAUAUGUAUUGUGUUUAUAUACUAUUUAUGCAUGGAUGUAUAAUGUACGAAUGCAUUAUACAUGUUUGUUUACUUGUUAAUUGGUUUAAUGAGAUUUAAAUGAUUGACUGGUUUUUGUGUUACUAUUGGAUUGAUUUCUUAUGACAAGAUCUCUAGCUGGCAUGGACACCUCUACUGCCUCUCUUUUCCAAUUCCUGAAUCAACAUUGAUUUCUUUCCAACCAUAACGACCAAAGCCCAGUAAUACAAGGGCAUUUUCACACCGGGCUCGAGUGAGGUUGCCUAUGAGAUGCAGGGGCACACUCGGGGUGGGCGGCUCGUGUGAGGCGGGUGGCUCGUGUGAGGCAGUACCCAUGUGAUUUGGGGCCCACAAGGGGGGUUCAGUCGAGGUCCUAAUCCAUGAGAUGCGGGGCCUGUGCAAUGAGAUAAAGGGAUUGAUUCGCCAUGAUCUAACAGUUCAAGCUUUUAGAGCAAGUGGUUAACUGUCCUGCAUC